UACGUAGGUGACAAGCGUUGUCCGGAUUUACUGGGCGUAAAGAGCGCGCAGGCGGUCGUUCAAGUCGAGUGUGAAAGCCCCCCGGCUCAACUGGGGAGGGUCAUUCGAUACUGAUCGACUCGAAGGCAGGAGAGGGAAGUGGAAUUCCCGGUGUAGUGGUGAAAUGCGUAGAUAUCGGGAGGAACACCAGUGGCGAAGGCGACUUCCUGGCCUGUUCUUGACGCUGAGGCGCGAAAAGCUAGGGGAGCAAACGGGG
rnacentral:rRNA from 1 species